rnacentral:rRNA from 1 species
UACGUAGGCAGCGAGCGUUGUUCGGAGUUACUGGGCGUAAAGAGUGCGUAGGCGGUUGGCUAAGUUUGGUGUGAAAUCUCCCGGCUCAACUGGGAGGGUGCGCCGAAAACUGGCUGGCUGGAGUGUGGGAGAGGCUAGCGGAAUUCCUGGUGUAGCGGUGAAAUGCGUAGAUAUCAGGAGGAACACCAAUAGCGAAGGCAGCUCGCUGGGACGUUACUGACACUGAGGCGCGAAAGCGUGGGGAGCGAACAGG